AGAGUUUGAUCCUGGCUCAGGAUGAACGCUGGCGGCGUGCCUAACACAUGCAAGUCGAACGGAGUUACUUAAUUUGAUCCCUUCGGGGUGACGAUUUUUUAACUUAGUGGCGGACGGGUGAGUAACACGUGAGCAACCUGCCUUUCAGAGGGGGACAACGGCUGGAAACGGCCGCUAAUACCGCAUAACAUACCGAGGCGGCAUCGUCUUGGUAUCAAAGGAGCAAUCCGCUGAAAGAUGGGCUCGCGUCUGAUUAGAUAGUUGGUGAGGUAACGGCUCACCAAGUCGACGAUCAGUAGCCGGACUGAGAGGUUGAACGGCCACAUUGGGACUGAGAUACGGCCCAGACUCCUACGGGAGGCAGCAGUGGGGAAUAUUGCACAAUGGGGGAAACCCUGAUGCAGCAACGCCGCGUGAAGGAAGACGGUUUUCGGAUUGUAAACUUCUUUUCUUAGUGAAGAAGAUGUGACGGUAGCUAAGGAAUAAGCAUCGGCUAACUACGUGCCAGCAGCCGCGGUAAUACGUAGGAUGCGAGCGUUAUCCGGAAUUACUGGGUGUAAAGGGAGCGCAGGCGGGACUGCAAGUUGGAUGUGAAAUACCGCAGCUUAACUGCGGAGCUGCAUCCAAAACUGUAGUUCUUGAGUGGAGUAGAGGCAAGCGGAAUUCCGAGUGUAGCGGUGAAAUGCGUAGAUAUUCGGAGGAACACCAGUGGCGAAGGCGGCUUGCUGGGCUCUAACUGACGCUGAGGCUCGAAAGUGUGGGGAGCAAACAGGAUUAGAUACCCUGGUAGUCCACACCGUAAACGAUGAUAGCUAGGUGUGGGGGGUCUGACCCCCUCCGUGCCGGAGUUAACGCAAUAAGCUAUCCACCUGGGGAGUACGGCCGCAAGGUUGAAACUCAAAGGAAUUGACGGGGGCCCGCACAAGCAGUGGAUUAUGUGGUUUAAUUCGAAGCAACGCGAAGAACCUUACCAGGGCUUGACAUCCAACUAACGAAGCAGAGAUGCAUUAGGUGCCCUUCGGGGAAAGUUGAGACAGGUGGUGCAUGGUUGUCGUCAGCUCGUGUCGUGAGAUGUUGGGUUAAGUCCCGCAACGAGCGCAA
rnacentral:rRNA from 1 species